UACGUAGGUGGCAAGCGUUGUCCGGAUUUACUGGGUUUAAAGGGUGCGUAGGCGGCUUUGUAAGUCAGUGGUGAAAUAUGGCAGCUUAACUGUCAAGGUGCCAUUGAUACUGCGGAGCUUGAGUACAGAUGAGGUAGGCGGAAUUGACGGUGUAGCGGUGAAAUGCUUAGAUAUCGUCAAGAACACCUAUAGCGAAGGCAGCUUACUAGGCUGUAACUGACGCUGAGGCACGAAAGUGUGGGGAUCAAACAGG
rnacentral:rRNA from 1 species